GACGAACGCUGGCGGCGUGCCUAAUACAUGCAAGUCGAGCGAGACUCUUCGGAGUCUAGCGGCGGACGGGUGAGUAACACGUGGGCAACCUGCCUGUAAGACUGGGAUAACACCGGGAAACCGGUGCUAAUACCGGAUAAUCCUUUUUCUCUCAUGAGGAAAAGCUGAAAGUCGGUUUCGGCUGACACUUACAGAUGGGCCCGCGGCGCAUUAGCUAGUUGGUGAGGUAACGGCUCACCAAGGCGACGAUGCGUAGCCGACCUGAGAGGGUGAUCGGCCACACUGGGACUGAGACACGGCCCAGACUCCUACGGGAGGCAGCAGUAGGGAAUCUUCCACAAUGGACGAAAGUCUGAUGGAGCAACGCCGCGUGAGCGAUGAAGGCCUUCGGGUCGUAAAGCUCUGUUGUUAGGGAAGAACAAGUACCGGAGUAACUGCCGGUACCUUGACGGUACCUAACCAGAAAGCCACGGCUAACUACGUGCCAGCAGCCGCGGUAACAC
rnacentral:rRNA from 1 species